AAACUGUAGAGCUCGAGUUCGGGAGACGGUGCGGGAAUCGCAGGGGUACGGGGUGAAAUCCGUAGAUAUCGGGAGGAACACCAGAGGCGAAGGCGGCCACCUGGACCGAAGCUGACGCUGAGGUGCGAAAGCUUGGGGAGCAAACAGGAUUAGAUACCCUGGUAGUCCACGCCGUAAACGAUGGAUGCUAGAUGCUGGGUGUGUAAGACAUUCGGUGUCGGAGUUAACGCGUUAAGCAUCCCGCCUGGGGAGUACGGUCGCAAGGCUGAAACUCAAAGAAAUUGACGGGGGCCCGCACAAGCGGUGGAGUAUGUGGUUUAAUUCGAUGCAACGCGAAGAACCUUACCUGGGCUUGACAUCCCGGGAACCUCCUGGAAACAGGGGCGUGCCCUUCGGGGAACCCGGUGACAGGUGCUGCAUGGCUGUCGUCAGCUCGUGCCGUGAGGUGUUGGGUUAAGUCCCGCAACGAGCGCAACCCUUGUCCUUAGUUGCCAUCAGGUAAAGCUGGGCCCUCUAGGGAGACUGCCGAGGUGAACUCGGAGGAAGGUGGGGACGACGUCAAGUCAUCAUGGCCCUUACGCCCAGGGCUACACACGUACUACAAUGGUGGGUACAAAGGGAAGCCAAGCCGCGAGGUGGAGCCAAUCCCGAAAAGCCUACCCCAGUUCAGAUCGCAGUCUGCAACUCGACUGCGUGAAGGCGGAAUCGCUAGUAAUCGCGGAUCAGCAUGCCGCGGUGAUACGUUCCCGGGCCUUGUACACACCGCCCGUCACACCACGAAAGCUGGCUCUACCCGAAGUCAGUGAGCCAACCCUUAUGGGGGGCAGCUGCCGACGGUAGGGCUG
rnacentral:rRNA from 1 species